AUUGAACGCUGGCGGCAGGCCUAACACAUGCAAGUCGAACGGUAACAGGAAGAAGCUUGCUUCUUUGCUGACGAGUGGCGGACGGGUGAGUAAUUUCUGGGAAACUGCCUGAUGGAGGGGGAUAACUACUGGAAACGGUAGCUAAUACCGCAUAACGUCGCAAGACCAAAGAGGGGGACCUUCGGGCCUCUUGCCAUCGGAUGUGCCCAGAUGGGAUUAGCUAGUAGGUGGGGUAACGGCUCACCUAGGCGACGAUCCCUAGCUGGUCUGAGAGGAUGACCAGCCACACUGGAACUGAGACACGGUCCAGACUCCUACGGGAGGCAGCAGUGGGGAAUAUUGCACAAUGGGCGCAAGCCUGAUGCAGCCAUGCCGCGUGUAUGAAGAAGGCCUUCGGGUUGUAAAGUACUUUCAGCGGGGAGGAAGGGAGUAAAGUUAAUACCUUUACUCAUUGACGUUACCCGCAGAAGAAGCACCGGCUAACUCCGUG
rnacentral:rRNA from 1 species